rnacentral:rRNA from 1 species
ACUCCUACGGGAGGCAGCAGUAGGGAAUCUUCCGCAAUGGUCGAAAGUCUGACGGAGCAACGCCGCGUGAGUGAUGAAGGCUUUCGGGUCGUAAAACUCUGUUGUUAGGGAAGAACAAGUGCUAGUUGAAUAAGCUGGCACCUUGACGGUACCUAACCAGAAAGCCACGGCUAACUACGUGCCAGCAGCCGCGGUAAU